UACGGAGGGUGCGAGCGUUGUCCGGAAUCACUGGGCGUAAAGGGCGCGUAGGCGGCUUCUCAAGCGUGUGGUGAAAGUCCGGGGCUCAACCCCGGAUCGGCCGUGCAGACUGGGGAGCUCGAGUUCUGUAGAGGCGGGUGGAAUUCCGGGUGUAGCGGUGGAAUGCGUAGAGAUCCGGAAGAACACCGGUGGCGAAGGCGGCCCGCUGGGCAGAGACUGACGCUGAGGCGCGACAGCGUGGGGAGCAAACAGG
rnacentral:rRNA from 1 species